rnacentral:rRNA from 1 species
UGUCCUACGGGAGGCAGCAGUAGGGAAUCUUCGGCAAUGGGGGCAACCCUGACCGAGCAACGCCGCGUGAGUGAAGAAGGUUUUCGGAUCGUAAAGCUCUGUUGUUAGAGAAGAACGGUAAUGGGAGUGGAAAAUCCAUUACGUGACGGUAACUAACCAGAAAGGGACGGCUAACUACGUGCCAGCAGCCGCGGUAAUACGUAGGUCUCGAGCGUUGUCCGGAUUUAUUGGGCGUAAAGCGAGCGCAGGCGGUUAUUUUAAUCU